AGCUCUGCCAUUACUGCCGGUUCUUGCUUUUUCCUUUGCUUUGAUAUGGUUUUGGUUGUCAUAGAACCUACGUUAUCAAAUGCCACCGUCAAUAAGUCAUCUGGAUCAAAAAGGUGAUGGGUGGUUUUCUGUAAUAUGUUAAUCACAUCACCAACAUGAUGAGUUAGAAGCAGCUCUUCUUCCUUCAUCUUAAAUAUAGCCAAAGCUACAUGAAACAGAACCUUUGCCCCCUCAAAGAAAAGAACAUCCCACACUCGCAGAGUGGUCUCUGAAGGCAAGCUCUUUGAGAAAAGGCACAAGAACCACUCAGUGGCAACAAGGGACACAUCAAACUCCAGUUCUUCCAAAUGAGCAGCUAUCCUUGGGCACUCUUUAACAAGCAAAUCCUUGAAAACCCUUUGCUCAACAUGGCAUCCUGACAAGUUAUUUGUGUAGCAGUCAUUAACUAAGACAUUUUCCAGGAGGACAGCAAGCAUCCAAAAAGCAUCUUCCUC
rnacentral:misc_RNA from 1 species